UGCACAUCCAGAAGCCUCACCUUGAGGUGGC
rnacentral:piRNA from 1 species